rnacentral:rRNA from 1 species
UACGUAGGGUGCGAGCGUUAAUCGGAAUUACUGGGCGUAAAGCGUGCGCAGGCGGUUUUGUAAGCCAGAUGUGAAAUCCCCGGGCUUAACCUGGGAAUGGCAUUUGGGACUGCAAGGCUGGAGUGUGGCAGAGGAGGCUGGAAUUCCCGGUGUAGCAGUGAAAUGCGUAGAUAUCGGGAGGAAUACCGAUGGCGAAGGCAGGUCUCUGGGCUGACACUGACGCUCAUGCACGAAAGCGUGGGGAGCAAACAGG